UGGGGAAUCUUGGACAAUGGGGGCAACCCUGAUCCAGCCAUGCCGCGUGAGUGAUGAAGGCCUUAGGGUCGUAAAGCUCUUUCGCCUGUGAAGAUGAUGACGGUAGCCGUAGAAGAAGCCCCGGCUAACUUCGUGCCAGCAGCCGCGGUAAUACGAAGGGGGCAAGCGUUGUUCGGAAUUACUGGGCGUAAAGGGCGUGUAGGCGGUCUAAUCAGUCAGUGGUGAAAGCCCUGGGCUCAACCCAGGAAUUGCCUUUGAUACUGUUAGACUAGAGUUCGGGUAGAGGAUAGUGGAAUUCCCAGUGUAGAGGUGAAAUUCGUAGAUAUUUGGAGGAACACCAGUGGCGAAGGCGGCUCACUGGCUCGAUACUGACGCUGAGGUGCGAAAGUGUGGGGAGCAAA
rnacentral:rRNA from 1 species